GCCUGCCUAGCUCAAUCGGAUAGAGCGUCAGACUCUUAUACCAGGUUGCAAUGUGCCUUAGGCGAUCUGAAGGCUGCGAGUUCGACCCUCGCGGUGGGCU